AGAGUUUGAUCCUGGCUUAGGAUGAACGCUAGCUACAGGCUUAACACAUGCAAGUCGAGGGGCAGCAUUGGAGUAGCAAUACUUCAGAUGGCGACCGGCGCACGGGUGAGUAACACGUAUCCAACCUGCCGCUUACUCGGGGAUAGCCUUUCGAAAGAAAGAUUAAUACCCGAUGGUAUAAAGAGUUCGCAUGUUCUCUUUAUUAAAGAAUUUCGGUAAGCGAUGGGGAUGCGUUCCAUUAGAUAGUUGGCGGGGUAACGGCCCACCAAGUCUACGAUGGAUAGGGGUUCUGAGAGGAAGGUCCCCCACAUUGGAACUGAGACACGGUCCAAACUCCUACGGGAGGCAGUAGUGAGGAAUAUUGGUCAAUGGACGCGAGUCUGAACCAGCCAAAGUAGCGUGAAGGAUGACUGCCCUAUGGGUUGUAAACUUCUUUUAUAAGGGAAUAAAGUGAGGGACGUGUCCCUUUUUGUAUGUACCUUAUGAAUAAGGAUCGGCUAACUCCGUGCCAGCCGCCGC
rnacentral:rRNA from 1 species